UAUCAGUCCGCGUCCUUCUGGCCGGAUCCCCUUAAAGUACGCUAGCUCCUCCCGCAGUCGAUUUUGGGAUUGGGGACGUGGCAAGGCAGAGUCUGCGGAGGAAAAGGUAGCAGUUAAUUUAGUCAUUAGGAGUGGGUCCCUGAGCAGCCUUGGGGACGGGAAGAAAACGGAAUAGCUAAAGGGCACGGCACUACUUGAGGCAAGGAAAUGAGAAAACUGCCCCUGAUCAAAGCAGAGCAGAUUUGGAAACUGCUGCCCGCAGUCUCCAAGAUGCCCUAACGGUUUGGGGCUGGGCUGUCAACGAGGACAAGGUCCAUGGCCCUGGCUACUCUUUCAGGUUCUUGGGUGUUAUUUGGUUGGGUAAGACAAAAGUAAUCCCCAAGGCGGUUAUAGGUGAGAUUCAAGUAUAUCCCCAUCCAGAAACGUUGAAGCAGUUACAGACUUACCUGGGGCUACUGGGGUUCUGGCGAACCUUCAUACCACAUUUGGCAAUGUUAAUGCGACCCUUGCACCGAUUGGUUCACAAGGGGGAACACUGGAAUUGGUCCACUGAAGCCGAGCAGGUGUUCAGGGCGACAAAACGCGCCAUAGCCCAGGCCCAGACCCUAAGGGUUGUUGACUCAACCCUGCUGUUCCUCCUGACUGUCCAGGUAGAGGACUCUGGGUUUUUCUGGGGUCUCUGGCAGAAGCAGGGCAUGUGAAAGACUCCUAUUGGGUUUUGGGCUCAGCUGAAAGGGAGCCAAGGAAUGAUACUCCCUAGUAGAAAAUCAGAUGACAGCAGUGUACACCACCCAGUUGGCCUGUGAAAGCAUCACGGGCCCUCACCCAGUCACGGUGCAAACGACUUACCCAGUGGAAGGCUGGCUCCAGUCCUGGGCCACAAGGCCGUGAACCAGCGUGGCGCAGACACCAACAUUGACAAAGUGGGGAGCCUAUUUAGAACAAUGGGCUCAGUUCUCCACUAGUCCUUUGACCCAGGAUCUGCACGCUCUUUUGGGGCCCAUCACUUUCUGCUGUAAGCGAGCAGAAGACCUCGUGGAAACAGGGGAGACUCCUAGUCCUUUUGAGGAGGGAAAGCCUCUAGUACCAGCUGAUGCCUGGUACACGGAAGGGUCUUGCCGAGGGCAGCCCCCCACAUGGAUGGCUGUAGCCCUUCAACCCCUCACUGAAACAUUUUGGUAUGCCACAGGUACCAGUGGGCUGAGUUAAGGGCAGUCUUGAUGGUUUUGACUAAAAAACCUGUCCCAGUACAUGUUUGCACUGACAGCUAGGCCGUGUAUCGAGGCCUGACACUGUGGCUGCCCCAAUGGGCAUCCCAAGAGUGGCUGAUCGGCCACUGCCCAUUUUGGGGCAGGGACCUCUGGGAGGACAUUUGGAGACGAGGCCAGAGCACGGGCGCCACCGUGUACCACGUCUCGGGCCAUCAGCCAUUGCAGGUGCCCAGCUGAUGCCUUGGUGUGAGUACGCUCGCUUGUGGCGCCCCUAGGGUUCACCGCUAUGGCCACUUGGUUUCACAAGAAGUUAGGCCAUGUGGGUGCCAGGUCUAUGGGACUGGUGGCUACCCGCUGGUGCUUACAGCUGACGAGAGCUGAGGCCCAGCAAGCUGUCCGUCAAUGCCCUUGGUGUGCAGAGCACUGCCCCCAGAGACAAUGUCUGCUCACCUCCAUGGGGUCUGUACCUCGGAAGGCGCAGCCCCUGCAAAAAUGGCGGGUGGACUAUAUUGGGCCACUCCCUACAGACCAGGGAGCCCUUUAUGCCCUGACAGCAGUAGACACUCCCACCGGACUUGGCUUUGCUUACCCUAUGGCCCAGGCGGACCAACGACACACGCUCCUAGCCUUGGAGCACUUGUCGGCUGCCUGUGGCCGGCCCUUGCUUAUUGGUGGAGAUUGAGGCACCCACUUUACAAGUUCACAGGUUCAAACCUGGGCGAAGGACAAUGAUGUCGAAUGGUGACUACACGUUCCUUACCAACCCCAUACUGCCGGUAUGGUUGAACACUUUAACGGGUUGUUGAAGGACAAGUUAAGGGUAUUGGCCCCCAGGUGGAAACACUGGAAAAACCAGGUAACAGUAGCUGUUCACCUAUUGAACGAGCAGCCACAGAAGACUGGUAAGGCCCCAUUGGAUAAGGUAACCGAGGGACUUGCGCGACUCCUACGGGUCAUGGGGACCGGGGACCCGGAGUUACAGCCCAGGCUACAGGGGGGAUGGUAAUCCUACCUGUUCCAUCCACAGUGGCCCCUGGUCGGACGCAGGAAUGGAACUGGCCUUGGCAGGCUCAGGUCACCCAAGAACCCUGGGUCGCCCUACAUGAGCCCUGGGAACAGGGUCUAGAGACAGGCCUGGAGGUUACGCCCUGGCUUGGACACUGGCCCUUCACAGUACAAGUGACUUUACCGGCCAAUGCAAGCGGGUCUUUCUUAUGAGGUACCCCCAUGCUACGCCUUUGGUGCAUACCCCUGUAUUCAGUGGACCGAACCCUUGGCCCCUUACUGACAACCCACGGAACCCAGGUGUGUACCACCAACCAGGAGCUGCCCCCAUACCAGCUACAGUGCUAUUGCAGGAUGAGCACAUAGUGUGUAUUUUUCCAGAAGGCUGUGACUUACCCAUGAUGGUCUCUUUAUCUGCUCUGUCAUAUCGCCAAGGUUAGCUACAGGAAACAGCGUUAUAUCCUGGGUGCACACCUUUGCCCAGGUGCAUAACGCCUUGCACUGCUGGGUGUGCACAGAGCUGCCAGCAGAUACUGCUGAAGGACUGCCCUGGCAAGUCACCCCUGCCACCAGUACCAACUGGACAGACCUCCAGUGCUGGGACCGGAACAGUCCGGAGGGGAAUGUUUGCCGCCGCGCUGUCGAAGCCCUCUUGCGGAAGCAACACCACAACAACCCCUGUCUCCUCGGCAAGGCUGUGGACAUUGGCUGGGGGUGGUUGGUGGGGACUCAUGUGACAUUGUCUAAUUGUGCUCCUCUGUGUAUCGAACAAUUCCCCUCGGUUCCCAACCAUAAGGUGGGCUGGUUACCCGAGGAGCUCUGCCUCAAUGUUACUGUUGUAACGGACCCUACUCGCUGGUGGGAUGGCCACUGUAUAGUGGGAACAGAACCCACUGAUUUCCUGCCAGGUGAUCUAUUUGGGUUUGUGGUUGCCAUGGCUGGCCAUAUUUGCCGGCCCAAUGGAUGGGUCGUUGCACUUGGGGGCGCCCCUUUAUUCAUGGUCACGUCCUGCCCAUGUUGUCCCAGAGGCCGGCCAGUUGGGACCCAGUUUACCAUCGUUGGCAUCAGGAAAAGUGGCUGGCCUAGUGGUUUUACCCCUUAGCCAUCUUAUUACCAGGGGGUGGAGUGAUACACGUAGAGCUACAGGUGGAAGCCCUUGCCCAACACGUCGCCAACACCCUGAACAUCACACGAGCCUCUUUAGCCCUGCUCCUUGACGAAACAACCCAAAUCAGAAAGGUGGUUUUACAGAACAGAAUGGCCCUAGACUUGUUAACUGCUGCGCAAGGGGGGACACGUGCCCUCUUGCACGUUAAAUGCUGUGUUUACAUCCCGGACCACCAACAAAAUGUACAGGAGGCCUUGCAAGAGAUAGACAUCAAGGUUUAGGUGAUCCAGGCCCGGCAGGACGACCCCGUUUCGCAUUGGUGGAACUCCCUUGGCUCUUCAUGGCGAUGGGCAGGCCUUAUCUUGGCAAGUAUUGCUUCUGUUGCUCUAUGUAUUGUUAUUGUGGCCUUUGUGCACAGGAACAUGCUCUUUGGAUAAAGUCUUGAACCGCCACCCUGCAGGGGGUGGACUGACAGGGCCCGGGCUGUCCAACUGUGUGCAGAGUGACAUAUGGACCCUGACCCCAGACAAGGCUCGGGCCCACACAAGCAGCGGCCCUGGGCACUAGACCCGGGCUGUUCAGAUGGGUGCCAGCUGACGCACGGACCCUGACCCUGGAUGAGUUUCAGGCCCACUCAAGCAGUGGUGGCUGACGCACAGACCCUGCCCCCAGAUAUGCAAACCUUGACUCUGGAGCCUGCUGCGCAGGCGCCGGGCUCCGGUUUCAUAAGCUCUACAUAAACAUGAUUCACAGUUGUGGGAGGGAGCAUGCACACUUCCGUGCACCCUCCUCCCCCAAGAUCUCUAUAUAAUGGUUGCUAUUGCUGAUUAAAGAUCCAGGUUCCUCCUCAUGCUGGCUCCAUGUGCUUUUCUUUCCCGGGGCAUCUCACCACCGAAAGCUCCCCCAUAGUCCCCUGACAAUGACACUCCCCAACCCAAAAAUUAGAACAAUGGCACAUUACAAAAACCUUAAAUUUUCUAGCCGAACAAGGAUACAAGGUAUCCAGACCAAAGGCGCAGUUAGUGAGCCAACAGGUCCAACACCUAGGACUAAUCCUUACCCCGGGAGAAUGAAGAUUGUCUCCUGAUAGGGUCAGGGCAAUUAACCAGCUGCCUCUCCCACAACAAAGAGACAGCUUAGAACAUUCCUUGUACUUUGGGGGUACUGCAAGCUCUGGCUAAUAGGUUAUGGGCUCAGGGUUCAACCACUAUGCGAAGCUCUCAAAGAGAGUGGGUAGCAAGUUUUCCUUUGCCUGGGGCCAGAACAACAGGAAUUCUUUGGGCAGUUAAAGAUGUUGGCUUAGGCCCUGGCCUUAGAACUGCUUCACCCACGAAACCCAUAGUGGCUGUAUGUUACUGAAAAACAAAGUGUAGCCCUCAGGUGCUAAACCCCAGAAUUGGGUCCCACUCAACACCCGGUUGGAUACUUAUCUAAGAGACUAGAUCAGUGACACAAGAUUGGCCAGGUUGCCUAAGGGCCAUAGUGGCCACCACCCUUCUAGCAGAAGAGGCAUCUAAAAUCACCGUAGGGCCGGCCUUGGAGAUCCUUACCUCCCAUCAGGUGGCCACCUUACUAGCCCUCAAGGGCCUCCAGUGGAUGACAGACAGUAGGAUAUUAAAAUAUCAGGUCCU